rnacentral:rRNA from 1 species
GACGAACGCUGGCGGCGUGCUUAACACAUGCAAGUCGAACGGAAAGGCCCUGCUUGCCGGGUACUCGAGUGGCGAACGGGUGAGUAACACGUGGGUGAUCUGCCCUGCACUUCGGGAUAAGCCUGGGAAACUGGGUCUAAUAGCGGAUAGGAGCCAUUUUUAGUGUGAUGGUUGGAAAGUUUUUUCGGUGUAGGAUGAGCUCGCGGCCUAUCAGCUUGUUGGUGGGGUAAUGGCCUACCAAGGCGGCGACGGGUAGCCGGCCUGAGAGGGUGGACGGCCACAUUGGGACUGAGAUACGGCCCAGACUCCUACGGGAGGCAGCAGUGGGGAAUAUUGCACAAUGGGCGCAAGCCUGAUGCAGCGACGCCGCGUGGGGGAUGACGGCCUUCGGGUUGUAAACUCCUUUCGCUAGGGACGAAGCUUUUUGUGACGGUACCUAGAUAAGAAGCACCGGCUAACUACGUG